UCACAAAGUAAUCAACGUACUUGCAGACAAAAAUGACACAAUCAGAAGUGUUGUAAUGCAUUGGUCGAUCCUUUAUUACGUGCACCUUAUUAUUUUUUUGGGGCCAUUUACCCAUUACCAAUGCACAAGGUCAACGGUAUCAAUUAUACCACAAUAAAGAAAGUUGGAUUAGUAACAUAUACAUGUAUCCAAUUAUAUAAGUAAAAAUCACGUAUUACAAGCACCGCUACGUCAACGUAUUCAUUGUACAUUUCUUACAGUUUAUUAAAGAAGGUAUCAUUAUAGAGUGGGUCAAAGAUGGUGAUCAAAAGAUUAAGAGUAUAAAGGGC
rnacentral:lncRNA from 1 species